AUCAUCAACGCAACUCUCUGGCACUGGAAAUGCCUCAACAGAAAGUAAAGUUUUCAUUCCUAAAAUGAAAGAAAUCCAUUUAGAGGGCAUGCCUACGUCUACAUACAGCUUUCUGUGCCCUCAUGCUGGUCAGUUCCAGUGUAAAAUCACCAACAUUGUGUUUGAGAUGGAGGAGAAAGGGGAGGUGCAGUACAGAAUCGUCUCCUGGGAUACCCAUCUCUUGGAUGGCUUGGGUCACAUGCAGCCUGCAGGACCCCUGUAUGAAAUAGACUGCUGUGAAGGUUCAGUCAGUCAUCUACACCUGCCACACUG